AUUGAACGCUGGCGGCAUGCUUUACACAUGCAAGUCGAACGGCAGCGCGGGCUUCGGCCUGGCGGCGAGUGGCGAACGGGUGAGUAAUGCAUCGGAACGUGCCCCGUAGUGGGGGAUAGCCCGGCGAAAGCCGGAUUAAUACCGCAUACGACCUGAGGGUGAAAGCGGGGGGGCGAAAGGCCUCGCGCUAUUGGAGCGGCCGAUGUCGGAUUAGCUAGUUGGUGGGGUAAAGGCUUACCAAGGCGACGAUCCGUAGCUGGUCUGAGAGGACGACCAGCCACACUGGGACUGAGACACGGCCCAGACUCCUACGGGAGGCAGCAGUGGGGAAUGUUGGACAAUGGGGGCAACCCUGAUCCAGCCAUGCCGCGUGCGGGAAGAAGGCCUUCGGGUUGUAAACCGCUUUUGUUCGGGAAGAAAUCCUCUGGGCUAAUACCCCGGGGGGAUGACGGUACCGGAAGAAUAAGCACCGGCUAACUACGUG
rnacentral:rRNA from 1 species